rnacentral:rRNA from 1 species
GACGAACGCUGGCGGCGUGCUUAACACAUGCAAGUCGAACGGAAAGGCCCUGCUUGCAGGGUGCUCGAGUGGCGAACGGGUGAGUAACACGUGGGUGAUCUGCCCCUUACUUUGGGAUAAGCCUGGGAAACUGGGUCUAAUACUGGAUAGGACCAUGCUGUAGGUGGUGUGGUGGAAAGAUUAGUUUCGGUAAGGGAUGAGCUCGCGGCCUAUCAGCUUGUUGGUGGGGUAAUGGCCUACCAAGGCGUCGACGGGUAGCCGGCCUGAGAGGGUGGACGGCAACAUUGGGACUGAGAUACGGCCCAGACUCCUACGGGAGGCAGCAGUGGGGAAGAUUGCACAAUGGGCGCAAGCCUGAUGCAGCGACGCCGCGUGGGGGAUGACGGCCUUCGGGUUGUAAACUCCUUUCAGCCAUGACGAAGCCCUUGUGGUGACGGUAGUGGUAGAAGAAGCACCGGCUAACUACGUG